AGAAAACGAGAAAGAAAAUGACGGCCACAAGAGCAGCAGUGAUGAAGUUGGCGAUCGUCCUCCUGGCGAUGAGCCAGCUCGUCCACAUGGCGACGCCAACGGCGGAUCCAAUGACUACUACAUCAUCGUCCCUACUGGUCACGAGCGUUUCCGGCCCUUCUAGCGGGGGAGUCAAUCCUCAACCCAGUCAUGGCAUCAGGGAAGAGAAGGUGCUGCUCGAUGCGGCCAAGCCCAGCAUCCCUGUUCCGCCCCCUCCCCACCUCAUCCUACCGUGCAAGGGAAGAGCCUGUUGACCUCAAGGCCGGGGACGGUCAAAGUCAAGUGCAGCUGGAGCUCCAAGUGCCGAGAGCAAUAGAAUGCCCCCAGCUUCCUCUGUAUUGUACUCGAUCGUUUAUGAUCGACUCAUGGAAUAAAAUAAGCGCAACCUUGUUUUAUACUGUAUCUACUAUCUCGUUUUGCCUGAAAAAGGUUUGUCAA